rnacentral:rRNA from 1 species
UGCACAAUGACCUAAGGGUUAAAUUGCCGCGGUACCCUGACCGUGCUAAGGUAGCGUAAUCACUAGCCUAUUAAUUGUUGGCCCGUAUGAAUGGCCCCACGCUGAUAACGCUGUCUCUGCUGUGCUUUAUUGAACUUAACCUUCUGGUGAAAAGGCCAGAAUUCCCCUAAAAGACGAUAAGACCCUGUCGAACUUUGGGCAAACUAGCAAGAGCCAGUCUCCCCUGCUAAUAAACCCUUGGUUGGGGAAACCGGGGACCAAAAGAAACGUCCACCCCCACAACAGCUUAAGUUUAAGGGAUAGUCCAGCUUAUUACCCUAAUUCUAGCUCGACAGAGCCCAAUUAACUUUGUCAGAUCCGAGGAACCAACCCCGAUCAUGGGAAAAGUUACCGCAGGGAUAACAGCGUAAUCCCCCCGGAGAGACCACAUUAAAGGGGGGGUUUGCGACCUCGAUGUUGGCUUAGGGCUUCCCAGAAGUGCAGACGCUUCUAACGGUUGGUCUGUU